UACAGAGGGCGCAAGCGUUGUUCGGAUUCAUUGGGCGUAAAGGGUGCGUAGGCGGCUGGGCAAGUCAGGUGUGAAAUCUCGGGGCUCAACCCCGAAACUGCACUUGAUACUGCCUUGCUCGAGUACUGGAGAGGAGACUGGAAUUUACGGUGUAGCAGUGAAAUGCGUAGAUAUCGUAAGGAAGACCAGUGGCGAAGGCGGGUCUCUGGACAGUUCCUGACGCUGAGGCACGAAGGCCAGGGGAGCAAACGGG
rnacentral:rRNA from 1 species